rnacentral:rRNA from 1 species
UACGUAGGGCGCGAGCGUUAAUCGGAAUUACUGGGCGUAAAGCGUGCGCAGGCGGCGCGUUAAGACAGGUGUGAAAGCCCCGAGCUUAACUUGGGAAUUGCGCUUGUGACUGGCGUGCUGGAGUGUGGCAGAGGGAGGUGGAAUUCCACGUGUAGCAGUGAAAUGCGUAGAGAUGUGGAGGAACACCGAUGGCGAAGGCAGCCCCCUGGGUUAACACUGACGCUCAUGCACGAAAGCGUGGGGAGCAAACAGG